rnacentral:rRNA from 1 species
UACGUAGGGUGCAAGCGUUAAUCGGAAUUACUGGGCGUAAAGCGUGCGCAGGCGGUUCUAUAAGACAGAUGUGAAAUCCCCGGGCUCAACCUGGGAACUGCAUUUGUGACUGUAGAGCUGGAGUACGGCAGAGGGGGAUGGAAUUCCGCGUGUAGCAGUGAAAUGCGUAGAUAUGCGGAGGAACACCGAUGGCGAAGGCAAUUCCCUGGGCCUGUACUGACGCUCAUGCACGAAAGCGUGGGGAGCAAACAGG